GACGAACGCUGGCGGCGUGCCUAAUACAUGCAAGUAGGACGCAGUUGCGAACGGGUGAGUAACGCGUAGGUAACUACCUAUUAGAGGGGGAUAACUAUUGGAAACGAUAGCUAAUACCGCAUACUAGUAGAUGGACCUGCGUUGUAUUAGCUAGUAGGUAGGGUAAUGGCCUACCUAGGCAAAGAGACAUAGCCGACCUGGGAGGGUGGUCCGCCACAAUGGGACUGGGACAAGGCCCCGACUCCCACGGGAGGCAGCAGGAGGGAAUUUUUGGCAAUGGGGGGAACCCUGACCGAGCAACGGCGCGGGAGUGAAGAAGGUUUUCGGAUCGGAAAGCGUUGGUGUUAAGGAAGCGGUACUUAACCAGAAAGGGACGGCUAACUACGUGCCAGCAGCCGCGGUAAUAC
rnacentral:rRNA from 1 species